rnacentral:rRNA from 1 species
UACGAAGGGGCUAGCGUUGCUCGGAAUCACUGGGCGUAAAGGGUGCGUAGGCGGGUCUUUAAGUCAGGGGUGAAAUCCUGGAGCUCAACUCCAGAACUGCCUUUGAUACUGAAGAUCUUGAGUUCGGGAGAGGUGAGUGGAACUGCGAGUGUAGAGGUGAAAUUCGUAGAUAUUCGCAAGAACACCAGUGGCGAAGGCGGCUCACUGGCCCGGUACUGACGCUGAGGUGCGAAAGCGUGGG